rnacentral:rRNA from 1 species
AGAGUUUGAUCAGUGGCUCAGGACGAACGCUGGCGGCGUGCUUAACACAUGCAAGUCGAACGGUGACCCAGGGCUUGCCCUGGUGAUCAGUGGCGAACGGGUGAGUAACACGUGGGCAACCUGCCCCUGACUUCGGGAUAACUCCUCGAAAGAGAAGCUAAUACCGGAUACGACCACUUCGGACAUCCGAUGGUGGUGGAAAGUUUUCGGUCAGGGAUGGGCCCGCGGCCUAUCAGCUAGUUGGUGGGGUAAUGGCCUACCGAAGGCGACGACGGGUAGCCGGCCUGAGAGGGCGACCGGCCACACUGGGACUGAGACACGGCCCAGACUCCUACGGGAGGCAGCAGUGGGGAAUAUUGCGCAAUGGGCGAAAGCCUGACGCAGCGACGCCGCGUGAGGGAUGAAGGCCUUCGGGUUGUAAACCUCUUUCAGCAGGGACGAAGCGAAAGUGACGGUACCUGCAGAAGAAGCACCGGCUAACUACGUG